rfam:Colletotrichum incanum strain MAFF 238704 contig677, whole genome shotgun sequence.
GGCCGGUUGGCCCAAUGGCAAGGCGUCUGACUACGAUCAAUUGUGGCAUCAGGAGAUUCUGGGUUCGACCCCCAGGCUGGUCA